rfam:Camelus ferus unplaced genomic scaffold scaffold455, whole genome shotgun sequence.
GAGGGUAUAGCUCAAUGGUACAGUGCAUGCUUAGCAUGCACUAGGUCCUGUGUUCAAUCCCCAGUACCUCCA